CCUACGGGAGGCAGCAGUAGGGAAUCUUCGGCAAUGGACGAAAGUCUGACCGAGCAACGCCGCGUGAGUGAAGAAGGUUUUCGGAUCGUAAAACUCUGUUGUUAGAGAAGAACAAGGACGUUAGUAACUGAACGUCCCCUGACGGUAUCUAACCAGAAAGCCACGGCUAACUACGUGCCAGCAGCCGCGGUAAUACGUAGGUGGCAAGCGUUGUCCGGAUUUAUUGGGCGUAAAGCGAGCGCAGGCGGUUUCUUAAGUCUGAUGUGAAAGCCCCCGGCUCAACCGGGGAGGGUCAUUGGAAACUGGGAGACUUGAGUGCAGAAGAGGAGAGUGGAAUUCCAUGUGUAGCGGUGAAAUGCGUAGAUAUAUGGAGGAACACCAGUGGCGAAGGCGGCUCUCUGGUCUGUAACUGACGCUGAGGCUCGAAAGCGUGGGGAGCAAACAGGAUUAGAUACCCUGGUAGUCCACGCCGUAAACGAUGAGUGCUAAGUGUUGGAGGGUUUCCGCCCUUCAGUGCUGCAGCAAACGCAUUAAGCAUCCGCCUGGGGAGUACGAACCGNGAAGGUUGAAACUUAAAGGAAUUGACGGNGUUGAGACGNGCGAGGAGACACGAGGGAGAGG
rnacentral:rRNA from 1 species